CUUGGCCCUUCCCACUCAGGGCGGUAACAAAACAAGACUUCUGCUUCUUUUCUGUUUACAGCUUUGCAAGGAGAGAUAGGCUAGGCUCCGAUCAAUCCUUUGACUCAAUAAAGGCAUCUCUAUUGACUACUUUCCUCUGGAACUCCUAAAUCUCUAUUGACUACUUUCCUCUGGAACUCCUAAGAAGUCAACUCUCUCUUUCCUCUUUCACUCCGAGGCAUAUCUAUUUCCUACCUAGGACAGGACAGGUUCUCCAUCUCCCGAAAACAGGACUACCGGGACUACAUGACUUAACGAGCACCCGAACUCCACUUUCUGACCCAAUUGCUCCUAAUACUGAUGCAACAGGACUAGAUGUUUACUAGAUGCUAGGACUACUGAGUUUGAUUCUU
rnacentral:lncRNA from 1 species